UAAUUCAUCUGUGUAAUUUGACUUUCUGGAUGUGAGAAAUCAUGUCGGCAUCCUCCCCUUGGCACCUAUCAACCAGAGUUGGACAGCCCCAAAUGUAGAGUUCCUUCAAGGCAGUCAGGUUCCGUGUGCUUCCAGGCAAAGAUGUCAGGUUGGGGCAAUCGAUUAUGUUAAAUUCUUCCGGGGAAACGAGCUGCCCAAUCCAAUCCCGCAAUAUAUCUAGACCUUUGCACUCCGUCAACCAUAGUACUCUGAGAGCGGUAAGGUUCUUCAUGCUUUCAGGCAAAGAUGUCAGGUUGGGGCAACCGCUGAUGUGAAAUUUUUGUAGGGAAACGAGUUGCCCUAACCAUUCCGGCAGUAACUC
rnacentral:lncRNA from 1 species